AAAUGUCAUUUGCAGCAACAUGGAUGGACCUAAAGAUUAUCAUACUAAGUGAAGUAAGUCAGACAAAGACAAGUAUAUGAUAUCACUUAUAAGUGGAAUCUAAAAAAAUGAUACAAAUGAACUUAUUUACACAACAGAAGCAGACUCGCAGACAUAGAAAACUUAAGGCCACCAAAGGGGAAAGCGGGGCGAGGGAUAAAUUAGGAGUUUGGGAUUAACAUAUACCCACUACUAUAUAUAAAACAGAUAACCAACAAGGACCUACUAUAUAGCACAGGGAACUGUACUCAAAAUCUCGUAAUAACCUAUAAUGGAAAAGAAUCUGAAAAACAAUAUAUAUAUGUAUAACUGAAUCACUUUGCUGUACACUUGAAACUAACACAACACUGUAAAUUAACUAUGCUUCCAUUAAAAAAAAAUUCAUAUCCCUUAAUUCUUGAAUCUCCCAAGUAAAAAGACAGAAAGUCAGACCUCCAUGUUACUCCAACCAUUUGUAAUAGGGAAAAACUGUAAAUAAGUCAUCAGGUGUCAAAGGAAUAGCCAAAUAUACUUUUGUGUGGCCAAAUGUCAGAGUAUUAUGCAGCCACUAGAAAUGAAGUUUUUGAGGAACAGUUAUUGACUUUGGAAAACCUUAAGUGAAACCAGUAACACACAAGAUUGCAUAACAGUAUAGCGUAAUCAGUGCACAGAAACUACAUAGAAUGGUUACUGACGUUCACGAGAUUGUGGGACACUUAUUCUUUCCUUUAUACUUGUUUUUGGUGGUUGUUUUCCUGAAUUACAAUGAACAAGAACACCUUUUAAAGUCAGAAAAAAAGUCCAGUAAAUAUUAUUUUUUUAAAAGCACCACGUACAGAAAACUGAUGUGACAGAUGGCGGGACGGCUUCCAGGAGCUGCACCGGGAACGUUCUUGUGGUCGCAGGCGUGAUGCUCUUGUAACAAGCCUGCGGUUCAGAAAGGCACAUCACCACCAAGGGGCAACUCGGGAGCGUCCCGGGAAUCCCAGACCUGUGAGUUUGUGGAGUGGAGACCCCUUCCGGUGCGAGGGGACAGACGGUUAUUCCACCACCCUCAUUGCCACGUCCUGCUCAUCUCACCAACAAAGUGCCUGGUUCUACUUUCGUAGUACUUGCUGGCCCAUCGCCAGCUGCUCGUGGGAUGACGUAUGAGCCCCUUGAACAUCUGAUCCUGGGCUGCUCUGUCUGUCCCAGGACACUCCUGCCAAAGUCUGAGUGAUGCAUUGUCCAGAUCACAAAGUCUCCAUGGUAUAAAAUAGGACCCUCUCUUUUAGGUAAUACCAUAUACCUUCUCUUUUAGCGUGUGCUUUAAAGAACACGAUUCACGGUUUCCCUGGUGGCGCAGUGGUUAAGAAUCUGCCUGCUAAUGCACGAGACACGGGUUCGAGCCCCGGUCUGGGAAGAUCCCACAUGCCAUGGAGCAACUAAGCCCAUGUGCCACGACUACUGAGCCUGCGCUCUAGAGCCCGCGAGUCACAACUACUGAACCCGCGUGCCACAGCUACACUACUGCCCGUGCUCCGCAACAAGAGAAGGUACCGCGAUGAGAAGCCCGCGCACCGCAACAAAGAGUAGCCCCCGCUCGCCGCAACUAGACUAAGCCCGUGUGCAGCCACGAAGACCCAAUGCAGCCAAAAAUAAAUAUAAAUAAAAUAAAUAAAUGAAAAAAACAUAAAAAUGCAAUUCAGCUUUAGAUGAAUGGACGCCAGAAUCCAUCGGAAGAAGAGUAAGGGCCCCUCCACCGAUAACACAGUUUCCUGCCGUGAACCUGAGGACCUAUGUAGGGCCGCUACACCUGUUGGCCACUCACUGCCAGAAGGCGCAGCCCAGCAGCUACGUUGCCAAAACCAAGCUUGUUCUUCUUGGCAGGUGUUUUUCAACAUCUGAAAUGGACGAUACUAAGUGACUCCGUCAGCUACAUGAAUUUGUUCAACGCUCUUUGUCUGGUGGGGCCCCUCGGGAAGCAGGCCGACUUGGAUUCCACAGCAGCCGUGCUGGACCCGUCCACGGCCACACCUGCCCUAACGCUGCCGCAGCCCCAGUCGUCCCCGGCACAGAGCUCUGGGCUAGCCUGUGCUAGCUCUGGGUAACCCCUUCAUGCAGGGAGAUGGGAGGGAGCCCCCAGGCUCACAAAAACGUUCGUCAAGAUCUCCCUGUCGGUAGCACAUCUGCUGCUGGCACAUCUGGCAUUUCUACAGAUGUAGAUCAGCUGACAGACCAUGAUGUGACCCAAGACCGAGAGCAGGUGCUUCAGAGGGCUGUAGGCAGCGAGAUAGAGAUGGGCCAGGUCUUACCUGUUGCACGUGGACCCUUUACACUUGUCCUUCAUCUUGGUGUCACACUUGACGACUUGGGCUAGGAGAGAAAUGCAGAAAUACUUGUCAAGGCAAGAAGCGGGAAGAUGAGUCUGAGUUAGAAGACCCCAUCCCCCGCUCUGAGGAACUCUCUGGAACAUUCUGGAAUCCAUGUCAUAAUGAAAACAAGAGCAUGGCCCAAUGGCUGCAGGCUUAGGGUGAGGUUCAGAUCCCAGAUCCUCUUUCUAGUAGCACUGUCACCUUGGACACCUUACUUCCCCUCUCUGAGGUUCAAAUUCUGCUUACUAAUGGGGAUGAGUAUAGUAUCCACCUCCAACGGUUGCUGUGAGCCUGAAAUGAGAAAGUAAAUGUAGGCUUGGAAGGGAGCCUGGCACACUAAGUGCCCCAUAGCCUCACAGGGCUCUGGAGGGCGAGCCUUGUCCAGCCCGGUUGGCGGGCACCCAGCCAUUCUCACCAGUGUCGUCUCCCCGCCCCCGGCCAAGAUGAC